rnacentral:rRNA from 1 species
AAAGGAAUUGACGGGACCCGACACAAGCGGUGGAUGAUGUGGUUAAUUCGAUGCAACGCGAAAACCUUACCACCUUGACAUGUACGGAAUCCUUUAGAGAUAGAGGAGUGCUCGAAAGAGAGCCGUAACACAGGUGCUGCAUGGCUGUCGUCAGCUCGUGUCGUGAGAUGUUGGGUUAAGUCCCGCAACGAGCGCAACCCUUGUCAUUAGUUGCUACAUUCAGUUGGGCACUCUAAUGAGACUGCCGGUGACAAACCGGAGGAAGGUGGGGAUGACGUCAAGUCCUCAUGGCCCUUAUAGGUGGGGCUACACACGUCAUACAAUGGAUGGUACAAAGGGUCGCCAACCCGCGAGGGGGAGCCAAUCCCAUAAAGCCAUUCGUAGUCCGGAUCGCAGUCUGCAACUCGACUGCGUGAAGUCGGGAUCGCUAGUAAUCGUGGAUCAGAAUGUCACGGUGAAUACGUUCCCGGGUCUU